UGCAAGUCGAGCGGUAGAGAGAAGCUUGCUUCUCUUGAGAGCGGCGGACGGGUGAGUAAUGCCUAGGAAUCUGCCUAGUGGUGGGGGAUAACGUUCGGAAACGGACGCUAAUACCGCAUACGUCCUACGGGAGAAAGCGGGGGACCUUCGGACCUCGCGCCAUUAGAUGAGCCUAGGUCGGAUUAGCUAGUUGGUGAGGUAAUGGCUCACCAAGGCGACGAUCCGUAACUGGUCUGAGAGGAUGAUCAGUCACACUGGAACUGAGACACGGUCCAGACUCCUACGGGAGGCAGCAGUGGGGAAUAUUGGACAAUGGGCGAAAGCCUGAUCCAGCCAUGCCGCGUGUGUGAAGAAGGUCUUCGGAUUGUAAAGCACUUUAAGUUGGGAGGAAGGGCAGUAACCUAAUACGUUAUUGUUUUGACGUUACCGACAGAAUAAGCACCGGCUAACUUCGUGCCAGCAGCCGCGGUAAUACGAAGGGUGCAAGCGUUAAUCGGAAUUACUGGGCGUAAAGCGCGCGUAGGUGGUUCAGUAAGUUGGAAGUGAAAUCCCCGGGCUCAACCUGGGAACUGCUUUCAAAACUGCUGAGCUAGAGUACGGUAGAGGGUGGUGGAAUUUCCUGUGUAGCGGUGAAAUGCGUAGAUAUAGGAAGGAACACCAGUGGCGAAGGCGACCACCUGGACUGAUACUGACACUGAGGUGCGAAAGCGUGGGGAGCAAACAG
rnacentral:rRNA from 1 species